rnacentral:rRNA from 1 species
AGAACGAACGCUGGCGGCAGGCCUCAAACAUGCAAGUCUAGGGGGUGUAGCAAUACAUCACCGGCGGACGGGUGCGUAACGCGUGGGAAUAUACCUAUUGGUUCGGAACAACUGAGGGAAACUUCAGCUAAUACCGAAUGUGCCCUAACGGGGAAAGAUUUAUCGCCAAUGGAUUAGCCCGCGUUCGAUUAGCUAGUUGGUGGGGUAACGGCUCACCAAGGCUACGAUCGAUAGCUGUUCUGAGAGGAAGAUCAGCCACACUGGGACUGAGACACGGCCCAGACUCCUACGGGAGGCAGCAGUUGGGAAUCUGGACAAUGGGGAACCCUGAUCCAGCCAUGCCGCGUGAGUGAUGAAGGCCUUGGGUUGUAAAACUCUUUCGCGCACGACGAUAAUGACGGUAGUGCGAGAAGAAGCUCCGGCUAACUUCGUGCCAGCAGCCGC